rnacentral:rRNA from 1 species
GACGAAUGCUGGCGGCGUGCUUAACACAUGCAAGUCGAACGGAAAGGCCCUGCUUUUGUGGGGUGCUCGAGUGGCGAACGGGUGAGUAACACGUGAGUAACCUGCCCUUGACUUUGGGAUAACUUCAGGAAACUGGGGCUAAUACCGGAUAGGAGCUCCUGCUGCAUGGUGGGGGUUGGAAAGUUUCGGCGGUUGGGGAUGGACUCGCGGCUUAUCAGCUUGUUGGUGGGGUAGUGGCUUACCAAGGCUUUGACGGGUAGCCGGCCUGAGAGGGUGACCGGCCACAUUGGGACUGAGAUACGGCCCAGACUCCUACGGGAGGCAGCAGUGGGGAAUAUUGCACAAUGGGCGGAAGCCUGAUGCAGCAACGCCGCGUGCGGGAUGACGGCCUUCGGGUUGUAAACCGCUUUCGCCUGUGACGAAGCGUGAGUGACGGUAAUGGGUAAAGAAGCACCGGCGAACUACGU